rnacentral:tRNA from 1 species
GAUCAGACAUGUCUACGAAUUGGUCCACUACGUGCGUGUAUUCAUUGGUGACCGAGCCAGAGGCUACAGCCGGUG